rnacentral:lncRNA from 1 species
CUGAUGACAAGAUGGAAAUACAGCAGAAGUUGGUGCACUGCAACUGACUGGAGAAGUUUCAAAGGAUCUGGGGACAAGGAGUGAAGAAAGGAGCAAAAGGAAGACCAGAAUCUGAGACAAGGAAUUGUCCCAUGUGCUCGAAGUCUUUGAAGAGCAAAAAUCAAGGAGAGUAAGAAUGGAAGCCACUCAACUACUGCUUCAGAACAAAGUUAGCACGGGCUCCUGAGAAAUGACUAGAAGAUAUGCCUGGGAUUCAAAGGACCUCAGAGCCACCCAUAGCUAAUGUCCCUGUCAUCCAACAGAUGCUGUGGCUUUGGGAAAGAACAGCCUUUCUUGACCUCAAAUCUUUGUGUCUGAAAAAUGAGAGGGGUACCAGAUGCUACCUAAGCAGUCUUCCUACCUAAAAUGUAUGAGUAUAAGAAGAAUGAUCAAUUUUAAUCUCAAAAUACAAUUCUCACCUUUCAGUUACCAAGAUACAGCCCCCUUCCCUUAACCUGAGCUACAACAAAACAUAAGUUCAAUAGAGAAUUGAUUAAUGAGUAUAAAAAGGCAGCCCUGUGUUCUUGUGCUCAGAAUUGGUUGGCUCUGUUCAAUUCAAUGAGCAAGAAGACUGAAUCCUGUACUGUGUUUCAUUAGCAAGUACAAUAGCCCAGUUUUGAUAAAGUGACUCAAAUCACCUGAUCUCUUUUUAUUCCCCAUGUAUUAGCCAAACAUUAUUAUGAAGUAUGCUGUUGCCAGGCUACUAUUUAGAAUGUAUGUUAUAAGACAUGUCUGUAGGACUUUUGAAAUCAUCUUUCAGUUUUAUUCCCAGUAGUCACU